UACAUCUAAGUAAGACAACGCUCUAACCAACAACACUCUAACCAUUGUAUCUUCAUCACCACUCCCAAAAGAAAAUAUCAAAUCCUCAUUCACAACCUUCAACAAUCACCCAUUUUCAUCUUCAUCCAACCACCCCUUCAAAAUCAUUCAAGGGUUGCGGUCAUGGCUUUUCUGAUGUCAAAACCUCUCACUCACAAGAAACCUUAAAUUUUUUAUCUCAUCACUCUCACUAACAACUCAUGCUCUUACGGCCACUCAACAUUCAUCAAUAAACCACCACCACCUCCAUCGAUUGUGCUUCCAAACCACCACCACCACCUCCAUCCUUUUUGUUUCGAAGCCACCACUACGACCUUCAUUGUUUCUGUUUCGAACCGGUUCUUCCUGCGCAAAGCCACCAUUGUUUCUUCUCAUCUGUAAAUGGAGAAUAGAUUCCCCAAACGCAGUAGCAAUUAAUCACAAGAGGAAGGAGGAGAUGAAGAAGAAGACAAUGAUGGGUGAAAGAUGUAGGAGGAAUAAAAGAAGAAGAAGAAGAAAAUGACGUGUGACUUUUAUUAUUAUUAUUAUUAUUAUUAUUAUUAUUAUUAUUAUUAUUAUUCUUAGUUUAUUUAAUUUAUAACUUUUAUUUUUGUAAAUAUAAUGACAAUGAUCUGUUGAUGGAAUUAUUAUUAUUAGUUGUUUAAAUUAUGCUUUAUGUUAUUAUUAUUAGUUUUAAGAUAUAGUUGUUUAAGUUAAGCUUUACGUUAUUAUUUCUGUAAAUAUAAUGAAAUAUUUCUGUAAAUAUAAUGAAUGUUUUGUUGGAAAAAA